UACUCCUACGGGAGGCAGCAGUGGGGAAUUUUGGACAAUGGGGGCAACCCUGAUCCAGCAAUGCCGCGUGAGUGAAGAAGGCCUUCGGGUUGUAAAGCUCUUUUGUCAGGGAAGAAACGGUGAGGGCUAAUAUCCUUUGCUAAUGACGGUACCUGAAGAAUAAGCACCGGCUAACUACGUGCCAGCAGCCGCGGUAAUACGUAGGGUGCAAGCGUUAAUCGGAAUUACUGGGCGUAAAGCGUGCGCAGGCGGUUAUGUAAGUCAGAUGUGAAAUCCCCGGGCUCAACCUGGGAAUGGCAUUUGAGACUGCAUGGCUAGAGUGUGUCAGAGGGGGGUAGAAUUCCACGUGUAGCAGUGAAAUGCGUAGAGAUGUGGAGGAAUACCGAUGGCGAAAGCAGCCCCCUGGGAUAACACUGACGCUCAUGCACGAAAGCGUGGGGAGCAAACAGGAUUAGAUACCCUGGUAGUCCACGCCCUAAACGAUGUCUACUGGUUGUCGGGACUUAAUUGUCUUGGUAACGCAGCUAACGCGUGAAGUAGACCGCCUGGGGAGUACGGUCGCAAGAUUAAAACUCAAAGGAAUUGACGGGGACCCCCACAAGCGGUGGAGCAUGUGGA
rnacentral:rRNA from 1 species